UACAGAGGGUGCGAGCGUUAAUCGGAAUUACUGGGCGUAAAGCGUGCGUAGACGGUUAUAUAAGUCGGGUGUGAAAGCCCCGGGCUCAACCUGGGAAUUGCAUUCGAGACUGCAUAGCUAGGGUGCGGAAGAGGGAAGCGGAAUUUCCGGUGUAGCGGUGAAAUGCGUAGAUAUCUGGAGGAACACCGGUGGCGAAGGCGACGUCCUGGACCGGCAUUGACGCUGAGGCGCGAAAGCCAGGGGAGCAAACGGG
rnacentral:rRNA from 1 species